UACGUAGGGUGCAAGCGUUAUCCGGAAUUAUUGGGCGUAAAGAGCUCGUAGGCGGUUUGUCGCGUCUGCUGUGAAAACCGGAGGCUCAACCUCCGGCCUGCAGUGGGUACGGGCAGACUAGAGUGCGGUAGGGGAGAUUGGAAUUCCUGGUGUAGCGGUGGAAUGCGCAGAUAUCAGGAGGAACACCGAUGGCGAAGGCGGCAUCCUGGACCGAUACUGACGCUGAGGAGCGAAAGCCAGGGGAGCAAACGGG
rnacentral:rRNA from 1 species